rnacentral:rRNA from 1 species
AAUUGCAGAAUUCACUGAAUCAUCGAAUCUUUGAACGCACAUUGCGCCCUUUGGUAUUCCAAAGGGCAUGCCUGUUCGAGCGUCAUUUGUACCCUCAAGCUUUGCUUGGUGUUGGGCGUCUUGUCUCUCUCCCGAGACUCGCCUUAAAAUCAUUGGCAGCCGGCCUACUGGUUUCGGAGCGCAGCACAUUAUUUGCGCUCUUGUCCAGCCGCGGUCGCGCGUCCAUGAAGCUUAUUUCAACCUUUUGACCUCGGAUCAGGUAGGGAUACCCGCUGAACUUAAGCAUAUCAAUAAGCGGAGGAAAAGAAACCAACAGGGAUUGCCCUAGUAACGGCGAGUGAAGCGGCAACAGCUCAAAUUUGAAAUCUGGCUCUUUUAGAGUCCGAGUUGUAAUUUGCAGAGGGCGCUUUGGCUCUGGCAGCGGUCCAAGUUCCUUGGAACAGGACGUCACAGAGGGUGAGAAUCCCGUACGUGGUCGCUAGCUAUUGCCGUGUAAAGCCCCUUCGACGAGUCGAGUUGUUUGGGAAUGCAGCUCUAAAUGGGAGGUAAAUUUCUUCUAAAGCUAAAUACUGGCCAGAGACCGAUAGCGCACAAGUAGAGUGAUCGAAAGAUGAAAAGCACUUUGGAAAGAGAGUCAAACAGCACGUGAAAUUGUUGAAAGGGAAGCGCUUG